CAUGGCCUUUUGAUAAUAAUAUAAGGUCUGACCUGCCCAAUGAUUAUUUAAAUGGCCGCGGUAUUUUGACCGUGCAAAGGUAGCAUAAUCAUUAGUUUUUUAAUUGAAAGCUGGAAUGAAAGGUUGAAUGAGAAAAUAACUGUCUUUAUAGUAUUUAAUUAGAAUUUUAUUUUUAAGUUAAAAAGCUUAAAUUAUAUUUAAAGACGAGAAGACCCUUUAGAGUUUUAUAAAAAUUUAGUUUUUGAUUUUUUAGUAUUAAAUAUUAGAAAAUUAGUUUUUAUUUAAUUGGGGUGAUUAAAAAAUUUAAAAAACUUUUUUUUUGUUUAACAUUAAUAUAUGACUAUUUGAUCCAUAAAUUAUGAUUAUAAGAUUAAAUUACCUAAGGGAUAACAGCGUUAUUUUUUUUGAGAGUUCUUAUCGAAAAAAAAGAUUGCGACCUCGAUGUUGGAUUAAAAUUAAAUUAUGGUGUAGAGGCUAUAAC
rnacentral:rRNA from 1 species